rnacentral:rRNA from 1 species
GAUGAACGCUGGCGGCGUGCCUAAUACAUGCAAGUCGAGCGAACGGACGAGAAGCUUGCUUCUCUGAUGUUAGCGGCGGACGGGUGAGUAACACGUGGAUAACCUACCUAUAAGACUGGGAUAACUUCGGGAAACCGUAGCUAAUACCGGAUAAUAUUUUGAACCGCAUGGUUCAAAAGUGAAAGACGGUCUUGCUGUCACUUAUAGAUGGAUCCGCGCUGCAUUAGCUAGUUGGUAAGGUAACGGCUUACCAAGGCAACGAUGCAUAGCCGACCUGAGAGGGUGAUCGGCCACACUGGAACUGAGACACGGUCCUGACUCCUACGGGAGGCAGCAGUAGGGAAUCUUCCGCAAUGGGCGAAAGCCUGACGGAGCAACGACGCGUGAGUGAUGAAGGUCUUCGGAUCGUAAAACUCUGUUAUUAGGGAAGAACAUAUGUGUAAGUAACUGUGCACAUCUUGACGGUACCUAAUCAGAAAGCCACGGCUAACUACGUG